rnacentral:tRNA from 1 species
GCCCGGGUGGUGAAAUUUGGUAUACACGCUAGAUUUAGGAUCUAGUGCCAUUACGGCUUGUGGGUUCAAGUCCCUCCCCGGGCA